GAUGAACGCUAGCGGCAGGCCUAAUACAUGCAAGUCGAACGGGUUGUUGUAGCAAUACAACGAUCAGUGGCGCACGGGUGCGUAACGCGUAUGCAACCUACCUUAAACUGGGGGAUAGCCUUCCGAAAGGGAGAUUAAUACCGCAUAAUACUAUUUGAUGGCAUCUGAGGAUAGUUAAAGAUUUAUUGGUUUAAGAUGGGCAUGCGUGCCAUUAGGUAGUUGGUAGUGUUACGGACUACCAAGGCUACGAUGGCUAGGGGUUCUGAGAGGAUGAUCCCCCACACUGGCACUGAGAUACGGGCCAGACUCCUACGGGAGGCAGCAGUAGGGAAUAUUGGGCAAUGGGCGAAAGCCUGACCCAGCCAUGCCGCGUGCAGGAAGAAGGCCUUCUGGGUUGUAAACUGCUUUUAUCUGGGAAGAAAACACCUAUGCGUAGGGAACUGACGGUACCAGAUGAAUAAGCACCGGCUAACUCCGUGCCAGCCGCCGCAGUAACAC
rnacentral:rRNA from 1 species